UUCCAGACUCCUACGGGAGGCAGCAGUGGGGAAUAUUGCACAAUGGGGGAAACCCUGAUGCAGCGACGCCGCGUGAGUGAAGAAGUAUUUCGGUAUGUAAAGCUCUAUCAGCAGGGAAGAAAAUGACGGUACCUGAUUAAGAAGCCCCGGCUAACUACGUGCCAGCAGCCGCGGUAAUACGUAGGGGGCAAGCGUUAUCCGGAUUUACUGGGUGUAAAGGGAGCGUAGACGGCAGCGCAAGUCUGAAGUGAAAUGCCGGGGCUUAACCCCGGAACUGCUUUGGGAACUGUACGGCUGGAGUGCAGGAGAGGUAAGUGGAAUUCCUAGUGUAGCGGUGAAAUGCGUAGAUAUUAGGAGGAACACCAGUGGCGAAGGCGGCUUACUGGACUGUAACUGACGUUGAGGCUCGAAAGCGUGGGGAGCAAACAGGAUUAGAUACCCCAGUAGAC
rnacentral:rRNA from 1 species